ACAAUGGGCGCAAGCCUGAUCCUGUUUACCGCUCGGGUGAAGAAGGCCUUCGGGUUGUAAAGCCCUUUUGUUGGGAAAGAAAUCCAGUUGGCUAAUACCCGGUUGGGAUGACGGUACCCAAAGAAUAAGCACCGGCUAACUUCGUGCCAGCAGCCGCGGUAA
rnacentral:rRNA from 1 species